GACGGAGGGGGCCAGCGUUGUCCGGAAUUACUGGGCGUAAAGCGCUCGUAGGCGGUCGCGUACGGCGGUGGUGAAAGCUCCCGGCUCAACUGGGAGAGGCCCGCCGCAACGGCGUGACUCGAGGGUGGUAGAGGCAGAUGGAAUUCCAGGUGUAGCGGUGAAAUGCGUAGAGAUCUGGAGGAACACCCGUGGCGAAGGCGAUCUGCUGGGCCAUGCCUGACGCUGAGGAGCGAAAGCCAGGGGAG
rnacentral:rRNA from 1 species